UACAGAGGGCGCGAGCGUUGUCCGGAAUCACUGGGCGUAAAGCGCGCGCAGGCGGUCCUUUAAGUCUGAUGUGAAAGCCCACGGCCCAACCGUGGAGGGUCAUUGGAAACUGGGGGACUUGAGUACAGGAGAGAAGAGUGGAAUUCCACGUGUAGCGGUGAAAUGCGUAGAGAUGUGGAGGAACACCAGUGGCGAAGGCGACUCUUUGGCCUGUAACUGACGCUGAGGCGCGAAAGCGUGGGGAGCAAACAGG
rnacentral:rRNA from 1 species